GACGAACGCUGGCGGCGUGCCUAAUACAUGCAAGUAGAACGCUGAAGCGAGGAGCUUGCUCUUCUUGGAUGAGUUGCGAACGGGUGAGUAACGCGUAGGUAACCUGCCUUGUAGCGGGGGAUAACUAUUGGAAACGAUAGCUAAUACCGCAUAACAAUGGAUGACACAUGUCAUUUAUUUGAAAGGGGCAAUUGCUCCACUACAAGAUGGACCUGCGUUGUAUUAGCUAGUAGGUGAGGUAAUGGCUCACCUAGGCGACGAUACAUAGCCGACCUGAGAGGGUGAUCGGCCACACUGGGACUGAGACACGGCCCAGACUCCUACGGGAGGCAGCAGUAGGGAAUCUUCGGCAAUGGGGGCAACCCUGACCGAGCAACGCCGCGGGAGGGAAGAAGGGUUUCGGAUCGUAAAGCUCUGUUGUAAGUCAAGAACGGGUGUGAGAGUGGAAAGUUCACACUGUGACGGUAGCUUACCAGAAAGGGACGGCUAACUACGUG
rnacentral:rRNA from 1 species